GGAUGUGGGGUUGCUUAGACAACCAGGAUGUUGGCUUAGAAGCAGCCACCAUUGAAAGAGUGCGUAAUAGCUCACUGGUCGAGUGACCCCGCGCCGAAAAUGUACCGGGGCUAAACAUAUUACCGAAACUGUGGAUGAACCUCUUUAGAGGUUCGUGGUAGGAGAGCGUUCUAAGGGCGGUGAAGUCAGACCGGAAGGACUGGUGGAGCGCUUAGAAGUGAGAAUGCCGGUAUGAGUAGCGAAAGAAGGGUGAGAAUCCCUUCCACCGAAUAUCUAAGGUUUCCUGAGGAAGGCUCGUCCGCUCAGGGUUAGUCGGGACCUAAGCCGAGGCCGAUAGGCGUAGGCGAUGGACAACAGGUAGAGAUUCCUGUACCAGUGCUAAUUGUUUAACCGAUGGGGUGACACAGAAGGAUAGGGAAUCGCACGAAUGGAAAUGUGCGUCCAAGCAGUGAGUGUGAGAAGUAGGCAAAUCCGCUUCUCGCGAAGCAUGAGCUGUGAUGGGGAAGGAAAUUAAGUACGGAAGUUCCUGAUUUCACGCUGUCAAGAAAAGCCUCUAGGAAGAGUAGUACUGCCCGUACCGCAAACCGACACAGGUAGAUGAGGAGAGAAUCCUAAGGUGAGCGAGAGAACUCUCGUUAAGGAACUCGGCAAAAUGACCCCGUAACUUCGGGAGAAGGGGUGCUCUAUUAGGGUGCAAGCCCGAGAGAGCCGCAGUGAAUAGGCCCAGGCGACUGUUUAGCAAAAACACAGGUCUCUGCAAAACCGUAAGGUGACGUAUAGGGGCUGACGCCUGCCCGGUGCUGGAAGGUUAAGAGGAGUGCUUAGCUUCGGCGAAGGUACGAAUUGAAGCCCCAGUAAACGGCGGCCGUAACUAUAACGGUCCUAAGGUAGCGAAAUUCCUUGUCGGGUAAGUUCCGACCCGCACGAAAGGCGCAACGAUCUGGGCACUGUCUCAACGAGAGACUCGGUGAAAUUAUAGUACCUGUGAAGAUGCAGGUUACCCGCGACAGGACGGAAAGACCCCGUGGAGCUUUACUGCAACCUGAUAUGGAAUGUUUGUACCGCUUGUACAGGAUAGGUAGGAGCCGAAGAGACGUGUGCGCUAGCAUACGAGGAGGCAAUGGUGGGAUACUACCCUGGCUGUAUGACCAUUCUAACCCGCCACGCUUAGCGCGUGGGGAGACAGUGUCAGGUGGGCAGUUUGACUGGGGCGGUCGCCUCCUAAAGAGUAACGGAGGCGCCCAAAGGUUCCCUCAGAAUGGAUGGAAAUCAUUCGCAGAGUGUAAAGGCACAAGGGAGCUUGACUGCGAGACUGACAAGUCGAGCAGGGACGAAAGUCGGGCUUAGUGAUCCGGUGGUUCCGCAUGGAAGGGCCAUCGCUCAACGGAUAAAAGCUACCCCGGGGAUAACAGGCUUAUCUCCCCCAAGAGUCCACAUCGACGGGGAGGUUUGGCACCUCGAUGUCGGCUCGUCGCAUCCUGGGGCUGUAGUCGGUCCCAAGGGUUGGGCUGUUCGCCCAUUAAAGCGGCACGCGAGCUGGGUUCAGAACGUCGUGAGACAGUUCGGUCCCUAUCCGUCGCGGGCGCAGGAAAUUUGAGAGGAGCUGUCCUUAGUACGAGAGGACCGGGAUGGACACACCGCUGGUGUACCAGUUGUUCCGCCAGGAGCAUCGCUGGGUAGCUAUGUGUGGCAGGGAUAAACGCUGAAAGCAUCUAAGCGUGAAGCCCCCCUCAAGAUGAGAUUUCCCAUUUCUUCGGAAAGUAAGAUCCCUGAAAGAUGAUCAGGUAGAUAGGUUUGGAGUGGAAGUGUAGCGAUACAUGGAGCGGACAAAUACUAAUCGAUCGAGGACUUAACCAAAA
rnacentral:rRNA from 1 species